rnacentral:rRNA from 1 species
UGAGGAAUAUUGGGGCAAUGGAGGGAACUCUGACCCAGCCAUGCCGCGUGAGUGAAGAAGGUUUUCGGAUUGUAAAGCUCUUUUAUAAGUGAAGAUAAUGACGGUAACUUAUGAAUAAGCUCCGGCUAACUUCGUGCCAGCAGCCGCGGUAAUACGAAGGGAGCGAGCGUUGUUCGGAAUAACUGGGCGUAAAGGGCGCGUAGGCGGAUUGGUAAGUUUGAUGUGAAAUACCUGGGCUCAACCUGGGAACUGCAUUGGAUACUGCUGAUCUAGAGAGUUGAAAGGGAUGAUGGAAUUAUGCAUGGAGAGGUGGAAUUCAUAGAUAUGCAUAGGAACACCGGAGGCGAAGGCGAUCAUCUGGGCAACGACUGACGCUGAGGCGCGAAAGCGUGGGGAGCAAACAGGAUUAGAUACCCUGGUAGU